rnacentral:rRNA from 1 species
GGUAGUCCACGCCGUAAACGUUGGGAACUAGAUGUGGGGACCAUUCCACGGUCUCCGUGUCGCAGCUAACGCAUUAAGUUCCCCGCCUGGGGAGUACGGCCGCAAGGCUAAAACUCAAAGGAAUUGACGGGGGCCCGCACAAGCGGCGGAGCAUGCGGAUUAAUUCGAUGCAACGCGAAGAACCUUACCAAGGCUUGACAUAUACCGGAAACGNCNAGAGAUGGUCGCCCCGCAAGGUCGGUAUACAGGUGGUGCAUGGUUGUCGUCAGCUCGUGUCGUGAGAUGUUGGGUUAAGUCCCGCAACGAGCGCAACCCUCGUUCUAUGUUGCCAGCACGUUAUGGUGGGAACUCAUAGGAGACUGCCGGGGUCAACUCGGAGGAAGGUGGGGAUGACGUCAAAUCAUCAUGCCCCUUAUGUCUUGGGCUUCACGCAUGCUACAAUGGCCGGUACAAAGGGCUGCGAUACCGUAAGGUGGAGCGAAUCCCAAAAAGCCGGUCUCAGUUCGGAUUGGGGUCUGCAACUCGACCCCAUGAAGUCGGAGUCGCUAGUAAUCGCAGAUCAGCAACGCUGCGGUGAAUACGUUCCCGGGCCUUGUACACACCGCCCGUCAAGUCAUGAAAGUCGGUAACACCCGAAGCCAGUGGCCUAACCCCUUGUGGGAUGGAGCUGUCGAAGGUGGGAUCGGUGAUUAGGACUAAGUC